UCCUACGGGACGCAGCAGUGAGGAAUAUUGGUCAAUGGGCGGGAGCCUGAACCAGCCAAGCCGCGUGAGGGAAGAAGGUACAGCGUAUCGUAAACCUCUUUUGUCAGGGAACAAAGGCGGGGACUAGUCCCCGGAUGAGGGUACCUGAAGAAAAAGCAUCGGCUAACUCCGCGCCAGCAGCCGCGGUAAUACGGAGGAUGCGAGCGUUAUCCGGAUUUAUUGGGUUUAAAGGGUGCGCAGGCGGUCUGUUAAGUCAGCGGUCAAAGCCCGGGGCUCAACCCCGGCCCGCCGUUGAAACUGGCAGU
rnacentral:rRNA from 1 species